rnacentral:rRNA from 1 species
GAGUCGACGAUAACCAGAGGAUACCUUCGGGUAAUCUCCGGGGACAGUGGCGAACGGGUGAGUAACACGUGGGUAACCUGCCUCUAAGACGGGCACAACAGGAGGAAACUCCUGCUAAUUCCCGAUAUUCUCCAGCCGUGCAAGCGGCUGCAGGAAAGCUUUUGCGCUUAGAGAUGGGCCCGCGGCCGAUUAGCUAGUUGGUGAGGUAAUGGCUCACCAAGGCGACGAUCGGUAGCCGACCUGAGAGGGUGACCGGCCACACUGGGACUGAGACAUGGUCCAGACUCCUACGGGAGUUAGCAUCAGGGAAUCUUGCUCAAUGGGCGAAAGCCUGAAGCAGCGACGCCGCGUGGGUGAUGAAGGUCUGCGGAUCGUAAAGCCCUGUCAGGAGGGAAGAAGUUCUGACUCAACCUCCAGAGGAAGCCCCGGCUAACUACGUGCCAGCAGCCGCGGUAACACGUAGGGGGCAAGCGUUGUCCGGAAUUACUGGGCGUAAAGCGCGCGCAGGCGGCUUGGUAAGCAUCGGGUGAAAUUCUGGGGCUCAACCCCAGCGCUGCUCGAUGAACUGCCUCGCUAGAGUACGGGAGAGGGCAGUGGAAUUGCUGGUGUAGCGGUGGAAUGCGUAAAUAUCAGCAAGAACACCGGUGGCGAAGGCUGCUGCCUGGAACGGUACUGACGCUGAGGCGCGAAAGCUAGGGGAGCGAACGGGAUUAGAUACCCCGGUAGUCCUAGCCGUAAACGAUGGACACUAGGUGUUGCGAGCAUCGACCCUCGCAGUGCUGUUCUGCUAACGCGUUAAGUGUCCCGCCUGGGGAGUACGGCCGCAAGGUUGAAACUCAAAGGAAUUGACGGGGGCCCGCACAAGCGGUGGAGCAUGCGGGUUAAUAGGAUGAUACCCCAGAACCUUACCAG